GCAUCCACCAGCAGGGGCAUCUCCUCCCUUCGUGUUUCUGGUGUAAAUCACUUGGGCUCUGUGCUUGGACACAAGUUUGAUCAAACCUUUGCUGAACAGAGCUUGGAAGAUCACAGGCCUGAACUCCACUCACGUGA